rnacentral:lncRNA from 1 species
GUGAGCUACACUAGCCCAGUAAGAACAUCACGAUAUCUCACCAUCACGGAGGUAAAGGUGGGUAGAAAACACAAAAAGACCAAUGGAGCAUAAUUCACAAUAAACUCAUUUAUCAGUAAUAAAACCCUUUACCAUCCACUUACCUCGGUGGAAUUUAUGAAACAAUAUAAGAAAAACAAUAACAUUAUCAUAAUCAUGGAAUAAUAUAAGUUGUAAAACAUAACACUUAUCACGCCUCUUGU